GGAGGGAUGCCCGAGUGGCUAAAGGGGACGGACUGUAAAUCCGUUGACUACGUCUACGGUGGUUCGAAUCCACCUCCCUCCACCA
rnacentral:tRNA from 1 species